UACGAAGGGGGCUAGCGUUGCUCGGAAUCACUGGGCGUAAAGGGUGCGUAGGCGGGUCUUUAAGUCAGGGGUGAAAUCCUGGAGCUCAACUCCAGAACUGCCUUUGAUACUGAGGAUCUUGAGUACGGGAGAGGUGAGUGGAACUGCGAGUGUAGAGGUGAAAUUCGUAGAUAUUCGCAAGAACACCAGUGGCGAAGGCGGCUCACUGGCCCGGUACUGACGCUGAGGCACGAAAGCGUGGGGAGCAAACAGG
rnacentral:rRNA from 1 species